UCAUGAGCGACUUGGCAGAAAGGGGCGGACACCCGAGGAAACCUUCGGCCAAGACGAGGAGCGGAGGCGGGCGGCCGGGAGGAGACAGGGCGCCAUCGCGGCGCACAGCGCAGCCAAACGGGAGACUGGCCCAUCAGCUGGAAGGUGGGGUAAGGGCCCACCUUGGCGACGACGGGAGACGGGGAAUAGGGGUUUGGCCCGAGAUAGGGGUUGUGAGAGAGCUCCUACGUGUAAGGAUCUCAUCAAGCGCGAAAAUUGCUCACUUCCCCGGGGGAGAAGCAGCGAGGAGACGUACAGCGGAAGAGCGGGCGGCAAAGAAGCGCGCGACGAGCGACUGGAGGGCAAGUCUGGUGCCAGCAGCCGCGGUAAUUCCAGCUCCAGAAGCGUCUGUGGUGGUUGCUGCAGUUAAAACGUCCGCAGUCGGGCAGGGUGCCUGUGGGGAAAGCACGCGGCUCAACGGGAGAGCAGAGCACGGGACAAGGGUCGAGAGGAGCAGGCGGGGGCAGGGGGAUUUGGCAGCCAGAGGUGAAAUUCGGAGACUUGCCGAGGACGGACAGAGGCGNAAGGCGCCUGCCAGGGAUGCUUUCAUUGAUCAGGGACGAAGGCCGGAGGAUCGAAGACGAUUAGAGACCGUUGUAGUUCCGGCGGUAAACGAUGCCAACAGGGGCGCCUGCGGCAGGGGUGCGGCAGGCGGCCGCAAGAGAAAUCAAGAGUGCGCGGGCUCUGGGGAUAGUAUAGUUGCAAGACGGAAACNUUAAACGAAAUUGACGGAAGGACACCACCAGGAGUGGAGCAUGCGGCUUAAUUUGACUCAACACGGGGCAGCUUACCGGCGGGGGACGCCAGCGGGAUCGGCGCGAGAUUUGGCAGAGAGUGGUGCAUGGCCGCUCCUGGCCCGUGGGGUGACCUGUCAGGUUGAAUCCGCUAACGGGCGCGAUCCGCGUGCCUGCGGGAGGCAGACGGCCGGCGGGCAGCCGGAGGAGGGCGGGCGAUAGCAGGUCCGUGAUGCCCUUGGAUGCGCCGGGCUGCACGCGUGCUACACUGGCGCCACGAGCCGCGCGCCGAGAGGCGUGCCCGGAGUCGGCGCCGGCGGGAUGUGCGCACGGACCUGCGCGCUGAACGAGGAAUUCCCAGUAUGCGCGCGUCACCAGCGCGCGCGGACAGCGUCCCUGUCCUUUGUACACACCGCCCG
rnacentral:rRNA from 1 species